UUCGCACUUGUCAUUCGCCGUCGUCUCUGGAGUCGUCAGAAGCUCACCAUUCGAAAAGCGCCGGGAGACGGGUGGUUCUGUCGCGUUUCCGGCAACGAAGCACCGACGCUUGUCUUCGUCAGCCUCCGGCCGCGUCGUGAGAAGGGCGAAGAGUUCCAGAAGGUUUGCUUGCAUGUUGGAUGGCGAGGU
rnacentral:lncRNA from 1 species